AUUUCGUCCUCAGAGUAGCAGUCCCGAGGUUGAGUGUGACCCCAGAUCACCCCUCCCGUGGAGGUGCUUCUGCAGGGGAGGACCCGCAUGCUUGCUUGUGUUUACGCCUGGGGAAGCCCCUCUUGGCAAGAUGCUUGGAAGAGGCUCCAGAAGGCAGAGCUCAGAGGACGACUUGGUGUUUCAGAAGGAUUCACUUCAUGGUAGGAAAUUCUUUCCGAAGGAGAUGUCCACCAGCAGUGCCCAGAGUGAGCCCUGCCCAGAAAACCCACCCCGCUGUCCCCGCACCUAGCACGAGGGAGCAGAACCACACUCCUGCACCUUCCGUGUUCCCGGCCCUCUACGUAAGCAAUCCCGUUGAAUCUUCCAAACAGCCCUGUUGUCGUUGUCCUCGGUUUACCGAUGAAGAAUCAGGCCUGCAGAGCGUAAGUCAUUUGCCCAAGGUCACAUCUAAAAAGUAGUGAAGCUCUUCCCCACCUGCCCAGCUGUCCCCCACCCCAGAAUUAGAAAGUAGCAAGCUGAAGCUGCAUCUUGAUCUCCCUGAGGUGUCAUCAAGAAAACACAGGAGUCAGAGAUGAAGCCUCCAGCCACAGGGAAGUUUGACCCACCUCGUGCUCGAAAACCCGUUUGGGCGACACAAGCAAAUAAAGUGUCGGCGUUUGCAUGAGCAGCCUCCCAGCACAGAAGAGGAUGCACGGGGAUCUGACGCUAAGAGACAAGCUCUCCCACACGCGGCCCAGAGAGCCAGCGCCGCUCCCAGAACGCCCUCCAAGCGGGCCGCCUCUCCUGCGUCUUCCUUGUCACUUCCUGAGCAGAUGAGGAAACUGAGGCUCAGAGAGGCGAAGUCACUUGCUUCGAAGCACAAAGGGAUGGGAAGAAGGUUUUGACCCAGCCCCAGAUCUGUUCAUUGAGUGAAGGAAGAGACAGUGGCCAGUCCAGGGACACUGGGUCCAGCAGCAGCCUCCAGGGGCACCCUCUGCAGCGUGCUCCCUCGGGGACACGGAGAAGCCUGGCACCCUCCGAUGGCCCAGGGAGGACGGCCGGCCAGUCCCACGGUCCGACAGGAAGGAGGCACAACUCCUCGGCCCCCUAGAAAAUGGCCUGUGAGGAGGUGAUAAAGGCUAAACGAGGUCGUAGGAUGGGGCCCUAAAGCUAUAGAAGACGAAGAGACACCAGACCUUUCUCCGCCAUGUGAGGACAUUGUCCACAAGCCAAGAGGAGCGCUCACCAGGGACCAAAUUGGCCAGCACCUUGAUCUUGGACUUACCAGCCUCUGGAACCGUGAGAAAAUAAAUUUCUGUGUUUAAGCCACCCAGUGUGGUAUUUUGUUAUGGCAGCUGGGGCUGACUAAUAUGCACACGGUUGACCAAAACUAAACCUAAAAUUCAGUGCCUUAGUC
rnacentral:lncRNA from 1 species